GACGAACGCUGGCGGCGUGCUUAACACAUGCAAGUCGAACGGAAAGGCCCUGCUUUUGUGGGGUGCUCGAGUGGCGAACGGGUGAGUAACACGUGAGUAACCUGCCCUUGACUUUGGGAUAACUUCAGGAAACUGGGGCUAAUACCGGAUAUGAGCUCCUGCUGCAUGGUGGGGGUUGGAAAGUUUCGGCGGUUGGGGAUGGACUCGCUGCUUACCAGCUUGUUGGUGGGGUAGUGGCUUACCAAGGCUUUGACGGGUAGCCGGCCUGAGAGGGUGACCGGCCACAUUGGGACUGAGAUACGGCCCAGACUCCUACGGGAGGCAGCAGUGGGGAAUAUUGCACAAUGGGCGGAAGCCUGAUGCAGCAACGCCGCGUGCGGGAUGACGGCCUUCGGGUUGUAAACCGCUUUCGCCUGUGACGAAGCGUGAGUGACGGUAAUGGGUAAAGAAGCACCGGCUAACUACGUG
rnacentral:rRNA from 1 species